CCUACGGGCGGCAGCAGUGGGGAAUAUUGGACAAUGGGGGCAACCCUGAUCCAGCCAUGCCGCGUGUGUGAAGAAGGCCCUCGGGUUGUAAAGCACUUUCAGUGAGGAAGAACGCCUGGUGGUUAAUACCCAUCAGGAAAGACAUCACUCACAGAAGAAGCACCGGCUAACUCCGUGCCAGCAGCCGCGGUAAUACGGAGGGUGCGAGCGUUAAUCGGAAUUACUGGGCGUAAAGCGCGCGUAGGUGGCUUGAUAAGCCGGUUGUGAAAGCCCCGGGCUCAACCUGGGAACGGCAUCCGGAACUGUCAAGCUAGAGUGCAGGAGAGGAAGGUAGAAUUCCCGGUGUAGCGGUGAAAUGCGUAGAGAUCGGGAGGAAUACCAGUGGCGAAGGCGGCCUUCUGGACUGACACUGACGCUGAGGUGCGAAAGCGUGGGUAGCAAACAGGAUUAGAUACCCCAGUAGUC
rnacentral:rRNA from 1 species